CCGUCUGGGUGAUGCUCAUGGUAAACUCGCUCACAGAGAGGGACGUGCGCUUCCGUGGUGUGCCCGUGCUCGACCUCUACCUGGCCCAGCAGGCUGAGAAGAUGAAGAAGACCACAGGGGCUGUGGAGCAGGUGGAGGAGCAGUGCCAUCCCCUCAACAACGGGCUCAACUUCUCCCAGGUGCUGUUUGCCCUGAACCAAACCCUGCUGCAGCAGGAGAGUGUGCGGGCCGGGAGCCUGCAGGCCUCCUACACCACGGAGGACCUCAUCAAGCACUACAACUGCGGAGACCUCAGCGCAGUCAUCUUCAACCACGACACAUCCCAGGUCACUUUCUGGGGAACAACACAGUCAUCGACAUCCUGCGGCAGGCAGGGCUGGAGGUGGACCACACACCCGCCGGGCAGGCCAUACACAGCCCUGCCCCCCAGAGCCCAGCGCCCUCUCCUGAGGGGACCUCGACGAGCCCGGCCCCAGUGACCCCAGCUGCCGCUGUCCCCGAAGCACCCUCUGUGACCCCCACCGCCCCACCAGAGGAUGAGGAUCCAGCCCUGUCCCCACACCUCCUGCUCCCCGACAGCCUCAGCCAGCUGGAGGAGUUUGGCCGGCAGAGGAAGUGG
rnacentral:lncRNA from 1 species